rnacentral:rRNA from 1 species
AGUUCGGAUUGCAGGCUGCAACCCGCCUGCAUGAAGUUGGAAUUGCUAGUAAUCGCGGAUCAGCAUGCCGCGGUGAAUACGUUCCCUGGCCUUGUACACACCGCCCGUCACACCAUGGGAGCCGGUAAUACCCGAAGUCAGUAGCCUAACCGCAAGGGGGGCGCUGCCGAAGGUAGGAUUGGCGACUGGGGUGAAGUCGUAACAAGGUAUC